AGUGAACGCUGGCGGCGUGCCUAACACAUGCAAGUCGAACGAUGAUGGAGGAGCUUGCUCUUCCUGAUUAGUGGCGCACGGGUGAGUAACGCAUAGGUAAUGUGCCCCUUAGUUCGGGACAGCCACUGGAAACGGUGAUUAAUACCGGAUACUCCUUCUCAUUACAAGAUGAGUCGGGAAAGUUUUUUCGCUAAGGGAUCAGCCUAUGUCCUAUCAGCUAGUUGGUGAGGUAACGGCUCAUCAAGGCUAUGACGGGUAUCUGGGUUGAGAGGAUGAUCAGACACACUGGAACUGAGACACGGUCCAGACUCCUACGGGAGGCAGCAGUGAGGAAUAUUGCACAAUGGAGGAAACUCUGAUGCAGCAACGCCGCGUGGAGGAUGACGCAUUUCGGUGUGUAAACUCCUUUUAAGAGGGAAGAUUAUGACGGUACCUCUUGAAUAAGCACCGGCUAACUCCGUGCCAGCCGCCGCGGUAACAC
rnacentral:rRNA from 1 species